CGAACGCUGGCGGCGUGCUUACCACAUGCACGUCGAACGGAAAGGCCCUGCUUUUGUGGGGUGCUCGAGUGGCGAACGGGUGAGUAACACGUGAGUAACCUGCCCUUGACUUUGGGAUAACUUCAGGAAACUGGGGCUAAUACCGGAUAGGAGCUCCUGCUGCAUGGUGGGGGUUGGAAAGUUUCGGCGGUUGGGGAUGGACUCGCGGCUUAUCAGCUUGUUGGUGGGGUAGUGGCUUACCAAGGCUUUGACGGGUAGCCGGCCUAAGAGGGUGACCGGCCACAUUGGGACUGAGAUACGGCCCAGACUCCUACGGGAGGCAGCAGUGGGGAAUAUUGCACAAUGGGCGGAAGCCUGAUGCAGCAACGCCGCGUGCGGGAUGACGGCCUUCGGGUUGUAAACCGCUUUCGCCUGUGACGAAGCGUGAGUGACGGUAAUGGGUAAAGAAGCACCGGCUAACUACGUG
rnacentral:rRNA from 1 species